CCCCUUCACCUGCCUUGCUACUGUCUCACACCCUCUGGCUGUAGGAACUGAGCUGUGCUUUCUCUUGCUUUCAUGGGCUCUGCUGCUUGCAGGAUGUGGCUUGGUCCCCUCCCCUUUCUAGCAGGGCGAGGGUGCAGCCUUUUCAGGGGCGGUCUGAGUGUAAAACCUGCCUGCAUCCCACAGAGCGAGCUGGCCUAGGGUGGCAGCCCCCUGUGGCCGCGCGCGGAGGCUGUGUCUUCUCACUUGGGCUCUAAGGGCAGCACAGGGGCCACCCAACCCCCUGUUCACAGCGAAACAGAAAUAAUUUAACAUCGUCGUAGAGGCAGAGCGGGAAGAGAACUGCACGUUCCCGUUUACAACCCUGUACAGGGAUCCGCCAGGACGGCCGCCAAACACCUAAAGCUGCGUCAGAUACAGACACACUGGACCCGAAUGGUCACCACACACGACAUCAUAAAAAAGUGUAUUAGAAAGUCCUGGAAGCAAGACUGCCUGUUAAUAUCUGGUUUCACGUGUUCACAGUGAAUGCUAUUGCACCAACAGCA